rnacentral:rRNA from 1 species
GACGAACGCUGGCGGCGUGCUUAACACAUGCAAGUCGAACGAUGAACCCGGAGCUUGCUCCGGCGGAUUAGUGGCGAACGGGUGAGUAACACGUGAGUAACCUGCCCUUGACUCUGGGAUAACUGCGGGAAACUGUAGCUAAUACCGGAUACGACCCUCGGCGGCAUCGCCAGGGGGUGGAAAGAAUUUCGGUCAAGGAUGGACUCGCGGCCUAUCAGCUAGUUGGUGAGGUAACGGCUCACCAAGGCGACGACGGGUAGCCGGCCUGAGAGGGUGACCGGCCACACUGGGACUGAGACACGGCCCAGACUCCUACGGGAGGCAGCAGUGGGGAAUAUUGCACAAUGGGCGCAAGCCUGAUGCAGCAACGCCGCGUGAGGGAUGACGGCCUUCGGGUUGUAAACCUCUUUUAGUAGGGAAGAAGCGAAAGCGACGGUACCUGCAGAAAAAGCACCGGCUAACUACGUGCCAGCCGCCGCGGUAA